GGAACAAUUUAACGAACGUUAAAAGGGAAAGCGAUUAACCGAAGGCGAUAACAAGAGAAAAAAGAAGAAACGUCGAGAGAAUCGGAGAGUUACGUUCGAUAUUUACCGCGAUUCUUUCGAGACGAGAGUAUAAAGAAAGGAAUAAUUCAUACAUCUUGGAUAGAACGAGACGUAAGUGGGCACGAUAAUGAGAAGCGUUUUGUUUUCUGCCCUUCGGUUCUCAUGAAACAUUGAAUAGCUGGAACAAAAGCUACCUGCGAGACAACGAUCUCUCCUCUGCCGAUCGACGAACACGCCUCUCCAGCUUCAAAUAGCAGCCAACUAUAUAGCCUCGCGAGAAAAAUGAAACGAAAGACAGAGUAAAGGAAGGGAAAAGGAGAAACUUUAUCGCUGUUCUCCAGGAUGGUUAUUCCGCUUUCCAAGAUUUUCGGAAGCUCGAGUAUUGUUUCGGACCGGGUAAAGGACCGAGAGGGCCUGUUGGCAUCUGGAAUCAAGACGAAACACGAGCUACGUUCCACGUUCCUCCGCUCCUUUCUCUCCUUUUCACCUCUCACUCUCGCGUUCUUGCCUCGCUUCUUUUCUUUAACCCGCAUCUUUUCUCAACCGUGACUCUGUUUCCCUCCGCGUCCUGCAUCUUGUCGUGUUUCUUUUCAUCUUCCCUUCUAUUCGCUCCUAUCUGCCUUCGUCUCAAGCUACACCUCUUCCAACGCCACGCGUCUUUGCUCAGUUUUUAGUUUCACGUUGCGACAAACAUCUUCGCUCUUUCCCAUUCCAGGCAACUCUAACUUUGCGAAAUUCGUUAAGGUCGCACCGUAAAAGUUCAUUUCCCUUCAAAAUCCGUACCGUCGUCGAAUCUCUCCGCAUAUUAUCGAUAUCUCGCUCUCUCGACGGACCGAGCGGAGCUGAUUCUUCGGUUAAAUUCCUUUGUACUCCGCGAAGCUACUUCCGCAACGUUGUUCGUUCGUUCGACGCGUUCAACUUCGAAUUCCACUAUUUCGUUAAAGUUAUCUUCGCCGGAUCUCGCAAAGGUAAUUAAAGCGCGUACGGUAUUUUUCGAAUGUAGCGAGUCGACUGGCCGUCCAUGCGUCUGUUAUUACGACGAGAGCGAGAUCGCUUUGGACUAGAAAACACGGUCACGCAAAUGCAUGCAUCGUUUGUACGCGUACAGGUACAGACGCGGGUGUACAAAGCUCGCAUAGAUGGCGCGUAACCAACGUACUUGAUCGUACAUACAUAGACGCAUUACGUAAAAGCGACCGCGAGAUCACGUAAAUGUAAGCGUUACUCCGCCAAGACGGAUCGAUCGAUCGAUCGUUCCUCUCCCAUUCGUUCAGUCCUCUCGUUCGCUCGUCCAAUUCUUUUCACAAGAAAUCGAGAUAACGUAUCUAUCAACGUCCGACGAAAAUUUACGUUUCCGCCAACAACAAGAAUCCCUGUAACGAGUUCGAUCGGAGUAACGCGAAAAGAUUUCGCAAGAAUCACGCGUACUCUUCGUCGUUCGGAUCAAGGUACUUGGGGGAAACGUCGUUGUAAACUUUGAUGCGUUUAUUUCAAGCAAGAAUAUGCAUAAAAUACGCAAAAUUUGACGAAUUAUUUACGUCCGCAAGAUACGAAUCCGCAUAAGUAUCCACGGUCUAACCGUACGUUAUGAAACGUCUGAAAUGCCAUCUCCUAAGCGACGAACAACAAAUACGUACGCAAGUACGAUGUUCGUCGAUCGACUCGUUUACCGAACGAUUCGUAGACUAACCGACCUUACCGAUUACAUCGUGUACCAGCGACCAAGUUCUACGAUCGACGAUUAUUCUUAACGUUAAGAACAAUUAAUAAAAGUUAACGUACAGAGUCACGGUGAGGAGAAAAGUUUGCUCACGGAACCCAGCUGGUUUCUUCUACUUUUACCUCGUCUCUGCACGAAUUGGCGAGCGAACCGAGCGCGAGCGCAGCUGGGUUAAGGAUCAGAAGCAUCCGAUUAAAUUGCUCCUGUAAAAUGGGGAUCCGCAGGUGCGACGCCGGUUAGAUGCUUCACCGGGAUAUGCAUAUUCCGAAAUGGACGAUUUUUUAUGGCAGCUUAACCCGGCCGAGAAAUUGUAUUUUUCAAAUUCGCUUCCGAGAGCAACGCGCGUCCGACUGCUCGAAAUUAAUCGGCCAACUCGAGCGGAAUCGUUGAGUUUGCUCGUUAAAUAACGCGCUUUUCUUCCCCGGUUUCGCCAUAGCUCGCGUCCACUUUAUUUCACAUCGACAACGACGAAAACAAGCGAAAGAGUAACAAUUAUCGAACGGCGAUUCGAUUUCGAGAUCGAAGAAGAAGGUGAUUGCCGCGAGAAUUGUCCCGCGAUAGACGAAUAUACUAGUCCUUGGAAAGUUUUCCAAGGUAACCUGGAAAAUUGUGAUCGCCCCUUGCGAACGAUCGUUCCAUCUCCGCAUUUAAACGUACAAUUUCGCGUUGUUUAAACGGUACGCGUGGCUCUCGUACCCGCCGACCUAUCAGGAGACUCGAUUUUUUAACAUUCCUAUCGACGGUCCUCGGAAACUGUAGCGUGAAAGUGCAUAAUCGGAAAGGGUCGACCGAAUCGAGUGGAACGUUUCAAGGAUUGAUAUUUGUCCGCGUGUGAAUCGCGAAUCGAUUCGGCCGAUGCUUUCGUCUCUCGGAUUUAUCUAGAUAAUUAUAUUCGACGAUUUCUAGAGAAACGCGGAAGAACGGUGAAAACGAUAGUAGAAAUUAUCCCAACGACGAGAUUAUGCGUGUCAAACGCAUAUUUAUAUACAUAUAUCGUAUACGCGGUCGCGUAACGUGUAUACAUAUACGAUGUAUACAUACACGUAGCUCGAUAAGAACAUUUGAACGGCAAAGUAUUAUAAAUAUAGAUUAUAUAUAUAUAUAUAUAUAUAUAUAUAUUAUAAAUAACAUAUUAUAAGUUACUAUCCGUUGGUACAUAUCGCACUUACAACCGGUAGAGGUAAAGAACGGAUGUCGAUGGAAAUGGAAAUGGAAAAAUCGCCCCGAAAGAAAGAUCGAAAAUAUUUCGCGGCGAAACGAGAAACAUGCCGAUACUAUGAGACGUGUUUGAAACGAAACUCGUAUUCCGAGAUGAUUCGUCAUGAAGGAAUUACCGUGAGAGGAAUCUAUCGAACGUAACUAUAGAACAACGAGAAGAAGAGAUUGGAUUCUCGCGUCAACCGGGAUCGGUAAGAAGAGAUUUCGUUUAACAUGGAUCUCGUUGCAUCGAUCACGGUCACUGCCAUUGGUCGCGGACUAGCUAAUUCACGCACGAUUGCUCGAGAUCGUCUUUUGUAAAUUUUAUACCUUUGAAACGAAAACCCUUUCGAUCUUCUUUUCCGCGGGCUGUUUCGCAAGCGAUCCAAAUCGACGCGAACUUUCGUCGGCUUUCGGUAAAAGAAAAAGACGUGGUCGAGUGAGAAUCGUAGGGAAUAAAGCGCAUGGAGAAAUAAAAAGGAAGCAUACGUGCGUGCGUGCGUGCGUGAGAGAAUAAGGAAGAAAAAGAAGAGAGUGCGAUAUACAUGUGCGAAGGAGUAAGAAAAAGAUCGAAUCGAAUGGAUGGCUUGUGACACGAUUUGUAAAUGCAGACACGACGACAUCGCCAAGUCUCGCGACACAACGAACAUAAUAAAAAAAAGUUCUUCGUUUUCUACAUA